UCCCUGGUGACUUAGACAGUAAAGAAUCUGCCUGCAAUGCAGACGACCCAAGUUCAAUCCCUGGACUGGGAA
rnacentral:tRNA from 1 species